CUUUUGGCCACAUCCCCACCAGCCUUUGUUAUUAUUAGAUUUCCUGAUAAUCACCAUUCUAACUGGUGUAAGGUGGAAUCUCAAUGUUAUUUUGAUUUGCAUUUCUUUCAUGGCCAGAGAUGUUGAGCAUUUCUUCAUGUAUCUCUUGGCUAUUCAUAUUUCUUCUUCA